rnacentral:rRNA from 1 species
AUUGAACGCUGGCGGCAGGCUUAACACAUGCAAGUCGAACGAUGACUCUCUAGCUUGCUAGAGAUGAUUAGUGGCGGACGGGUGAGUAACAUUUAGGAAUCUACCUAGUAGUGGGGGAUAGCUCGGGGAAACUCGAAUUAAUACCGCAUACGACCUACGGGUGAAGGGGGGCGCAAGCUCUUGCUAUUAGAUGAGCCUAAAUCAGAUUAGCUAGUUGGUGGGGUAAAGGCCUACCAAGGCGACGAUCUGUAACUGGUCUGAGAGGAUGAUCAGUCACACCGGAACUGAGACACGGUCCGGACUCCUACGGGAGGCAGCAGUGGGGAAUAUUGGACAAUGGGGGCAACCCUGAUCCAGCCAUGCCGCGUGUGUGAAGAAGGCCUUUUGGUUGUAAAGCACUUUAAGCAGGGAGGAGAGGCUAAUGGUUAAUACCCAUUAGAUUAGACGUUACCUGCAGAAUAAGCACCGGCUAACGUCUGUGCCAGCAGCCGCGGUAA